GCUUUAAGUGCAAGCGUUGGGUGACAAAUGGUGGCACUUUUUGUCUGGGGAUACUGCCCCUGCAUUGCAAAAAAGCUCCCCCUUGGGUGGGGUGAGCCCCAGGGUGGGCUGCUGCUGCCUGCAUGGCUGUCAGCUCCACUUCCAUCCUUUCAAAAUGGCUUGUAACAGCACCACUUCCUGUCCAGGGAGGAAGUAAUUUUAGCCCAGGCUCUGAAAUAUUUAGCAAAUCUUUAAAACAAAAGGCACAAAUUCCAUUUCUUUCUGGUUUCCAAAGGGUGCCUGAGCCACAUGGGGUUAAGGUGCCCCUUCACAUGGGGUAGUUGGCAGAAGCCAGGGCUGUGGGGGUAGCAGGCACCCUUUAGGUGGAGGCUAUCUCUUUUUUUGGUAGAAAUGAAGGGGUGGGUCUAUGGUACAUCACCUGAGUUGUGGGGUAAAUGUAGAGAGUGUCAAUCAAAGGCAGAGCUCAGAGCUGGGAAGGAGCUCUAGAUGGCGGCUGUGCCUUAGAGAGAGCGCGCUCAGCUCCGUGCCUUCCCCACCACUUUACGCAACUUUCCCUAACUUUCGGGCAGCCUCAGGGGGCCCCCACAGCCCCUUGCCUCUCCUAGGCACUAAUCGGGGGCCGAGCGGACCUUUUUCGGGCAGAAAAGCAGCUUUUGAGGGCUCCCUUUUCGUGCCUUGCUGGAAAGAAGAAGCCGUGGAGAGAGCCCAGGUCGUUGUUUUUCCAGCUUAGAAGCCAUGGCGUACCUCCAUUUUUGUGCGCUCUCCUAAUGAGCUUUUUCCCCCGGACAUUUUUCUACUAAUUAUCGCUUCUUUUGCUUUCUCGGCAGCAUAUUUUUGGGAUUAGAAUAUAUAUUUUUUUUCAUUCUCUGAAAUUCUUAUUUUAUCAUUUUGACUCUGAAUAUUUUGGAUCUAAUGUUUUUCCACUACCCGAAACUAAUAUCGACUUGGUCCUGGCGGCGGUGCAUGGAUCAGUAAAUACCUGGGCACAGGACUUCAAAGCAAACAGACACCCCUGACCCCCUCUUAAUAUUUAAGAAUAAAAAGAUGAUGAGAAAUAAGGACAAAAGCCAAGGAGAGGAGGGUUCAGUCCACAGCAAUGCAUCGAGGUAUGAUCUAUCAACUUUC